ACACCUUACUUUAACAAGUUCUAUUCUAUAUGCUCGUACUUUUAUAUCCUUGAUUUCCAAGGAGAUAGGAAACUAUAUUUGGACAAUGAACCAUCGUUGUUUUACUAGAGCGUGAUUAACCUCACCCUUGGCUUGGUGUCUGGGCUACUGGUGUAGUAGAUGGUCGUUCUUGGCUUGCCUAGUUAAGUUGGGGUGGUCUUGUAAUUAUUUGACAAAAA